AAUCAACGCUGGCGGCGUGCCUAACACAUGCAAGUCGAACGCGAAAGGGGAGCAAUCCCUGAGUAGAGUGGCAAACGGGUGAGUAACACGUGGGUGACCUGCCUUCGAGUGGGGGAGUAACGUUCCGAAGGAACGCUAAUACCGCAUGACAUCCUGCUCUUGGAAGAGCGGAGAUCAAAGCUGGGGAGUCGCAAGACCUGGCGCUUGAAGAGGGGCCCGCGCCUGAUUAGCUAGUUGGUGGGGGUAACGGCUCACCAAGGCGACGAUCAGUAUCCGGCCUGAGAGGGCGGGACGGAC
rnacentral:rRNA from 1 species